UGGGGUAUCGCCAAGUGGUAAGGCAACGGGUUUUGAUCUCGUUUUUUCUCGUCAUUCGUAGGUUCGAAUCCUUCUACCCCAG
rnacentral:tRNA from 1 species